rnacentral:rRNA from 1 species
AAAACCUGCCUUAAGGAUGGGGAUAACAGACGGAAACGACUGCUAAUACCGAAUACGUUCUAAGCAUCGCAUGAUGCAUAGAAGAAAGGGUGGCCUCUACAAGAAAGCUAUCGCCUUAAGAGGGGUUUGCGACUGAUUAGGUAGUUGGUGAGGUAACGGCUCACCAAGCCGACGAUCAGUAGCCGGUCUGAGAGGAUGAACGGCCACACUGGAACUGAGACACGGUCCAG